AUUGAACGCUGGCGGCAGGCCUAACACAUGCAAGUCGAACGGUAGCACAGAGAGCUUGCUCUCGGGUGACGAGUGGCGGACGGGUGAGUAAUGUCUGGGAAACUGCCCGAUGGAGGGGGAUAACUACUGGAAACGGUAGCUAGUACCGCAUAACGUCGCAAGACCAAAGUGGGGGACCUUCGGGCCUCACACCAUCGGAUGUGCCCAGAUGGGAUUAGCUAGUAGGUGGGGUAAUGGCUCACCUAGGCGACGAUCCCUAGCUGGUCUGAGAGGAUGACCAGCCACCCUGGAACUGAGACACGGUCCAGACUCCUACGGGAGGCAGCAGUGGGGAAUAUUGCACAAUGGGCGCAAGCCUGAUGCAGCCAUGCCGCGUGUAUGAAGAAGGCCUUCGGGUUGUAAAGUACUUUCAGCGGGGAGGAAGGCGGUGAAGUUAAUAACUUCACCGAUUGACGUUACCCGCAGAAGAAGCACCGGCUAACUCCGUGCCAGCCGCCGCCGUAA
rnacentral:rRNA from 1 species